rnacentral:rRNA from 1 species
AAAGCGUAAUAGCUCACUAGUCGAGUCGGCCUGCGCGGAAGAUGUAACGGGGCUAAAACUAUGUGCCGAAGCUGCGGAUUUGACAUUAGUCAAGUGGUAGGGGAGCGUUCUGUAAGCCGAUGAAGGUGUAUUGAGAAGUAUGCUGGAGGUAUCAGAAGUGCGAAUGCUGACGUGAGUAACGACAAAACGGGUGAAAAACCCGUUCGCCGAAAGACCAAGGGUUCCAGUCCAACGUUAAUCGGGGCUGGGUGAGUCGACCCCUAAGGCGAGGCCGAAAGGCGUAGUCGAUGGGAAAAUGGUUAAUAUUCCAUUACUUCUGUGUAAUGCGAUGAGAGGACGGAGAAGGCUAAAUCAGCCUGGCGUUGGUUGUCCAGGUGAAAGGAUGUAGGCAUGUAUCUUAGGCAAAUCCGGGGUACUCUAUGCUGAGAUCUGAUAGCAAGCUGUACUUGUACAGCGAAGUGGUUGAUGCCAUGCUUCCAGGAAAAGUCUCUAAGCUUCAGUUACACAGGAAUCGUACCCGAAACCGACACAGGUGGUCAGGUCGAGUAGACCAAGGCGCUUGAGAGAACUCUGCUGAAGGAACUAGGCAAAAUGGUACCGUAACUUCGGGAGAAGGUACGCUGUUGUUGGUGAUGGAACUCGCUUCCUGAGCUGACGACAGCCGCAGAAACCAGGCCGCUGCAACUGUUUAUUAAAAACAUAGCACUCUGCAAACACGAAAGUGGACGUAUAGGGUGUGAUGCCUGCCCGGUGCUGGAAGGUUAAUUGAUGGGGUUAGCGUAAGCGAAGCUCUUGAUCGAAGCCCCAGUAAACGGCGGCCGUAACUAUAACGGUCCUAAGGUAGCGAAAUUCCUUGUCGGGUAAGUUCCGACCUGCACGAAUGGCAUAAUGAUGGCGGCGCUGUCUCCAGCAGAGGCUCAGUGAAAUCGAAAUCGCUGUGAAGAUGCAGUGUACCCGCGGCUAGACGGAAAGACCCCGUGAACCUUUACUGCAGCUUGACACUGAACUUUGACCUUACUUGUGUAGGAUAGGUGGGAGGCUUUGAAGCUGGAACGCUAGUUCCAGUGGAGCCGUCCUUGAAAUACCACCCUGGUAAUGUUGAGGUUCUAACUCUGUCCCGUGAUCCGGGACGAGGACCGUGUCUGGUGGGUAGUUUGACUGGGGCGGUCUCCUCCUAAAGAGUAACGGAGGAGUACGAAGGUGCGCUCAGCGUGGUCGGAAAUCACGCGUAGAGUAUAAAGGCAAAAGCGCGCUUAACUGCGAGACCCACAAGUCGAGCAGGUACGAAAGUAGGUCUUAGUGAUCCGGUGGUUCUGUAUGGAAGGGCCAUCGCUCAACGGAUAAAAGGUACUCUGGGGAUAACAGGCUGAUACCGCCCAAGAGUUCAUAUCGACGGCGGUGUUUGGCACCUCGAUGUCGGCUCAUCUCAUCCUGGGGCUGAAGCAGGUCCCAAGGGUAUGGCUGUUCGCCAUUUAAAGAGGUACGCGAGCUGGGUUUAGAACGUCGUGAGACAGUUCGGUCCCUAUCUACCGUGGGCGCUGGAAAUUUGAGAGGAUCUGCUCCUAGUACGAGAGGACCAGAGUGGACGAACCUCUGGUGUACCGGUUGUGACGCCAGUCGCAUCGCCGGGUAGCUAUGUUCGGAAGGGAUAACCGCUGAAAGCAUCUAAGCGGGAAGCCUACCUCAAGAUAAGAUUUCCCUAGGACUUUAUGUCCUCUAAAGAGCCGUUCGAGACUAGGACGUUGAUAGGUUGGAUGUGGAAGCAUAGUGAUAUGUGAAGCUGACCAAUACUAAUUGCUCGUGAGGCUUGACUAU